GUGAGCCACCAUGUGGUUGCUGGGAUCUGAACUCAGGACCUCUGGAAGAGCAGUCAGUGCUCUUAACCACUGAGCCAUCUUUCCAGCCCAAUUUUAGGAAUUCUUAUAGGAUCAUCAUUAAGACUUAAGUCAUCUAUUUGUCUAUAUAGCAUCACUAUAAGAUCUUCGUGGAUCUGCAGAGAUCUGCUCCAAAGGGGUGGGCUACUACUUAAGUGAUCGUUAUAUAUGUUUAAUAAUAACAGGAAAAGCAUGUUAAUAGCAGGAAUCUUUUACAUAUGAAAUGGGGCCCAUUCACUUAGCUCACUGGCACGGAGCCGGGGCUGGAAUAAAGGCAAGUUCAUCACUUCCAACCACUACCACUCCUAAAAUGAGUCCCUCACAACCUUGCUUAAUGAGGGCUCACCUGUCGCAGAUUAUAUACUAAUCCGAGGCAGGCCACUUCAGUUAUUAACAACUUGCUAGUUAUUAGUUUGUCCCAUUAUGGCUCCUGCCAGGCCCUGGGUCCCCCCCUUGAGCUGGCUCCCAGUUUGGGCAUGUCACUAGACCUCUUGUCUCUCAGGCUUUUCUCCAUUUUUUUUCCUGCAGUUCCAUCAGACAAGAGCAGUUCUGGAUCAGAGCUUUUGACUGUGGGAUGGCAACCCCAUCCCUCCACUUGGGGUAUAGAACUAAACAGAAUUCGCAACAAAGGCAUCUCGAAGGGCUGAGAAGCACUUAAAGAAAUGUUCAGAGUCCUUAGUGAUCAGGGCAAUGCAAAUUAAGACGACCCUGAGAUUCCACCUUAUAUCAAUCAGAAUGGCUAAGAUCAAAUACUCAGGUGACAGCAGAUGCUGGAGAAGAUGUGGAGAAAGAGGAACACUCCUCUAUGGCUGAUGGGAUUGCAAACUUUGUAAGUGUCUUAACUGCAAACAGAACCCUAACCUGCAAGGUAUAUUGUUCCUGUUUCAGUCUCCCAUUAACUUACAAGUUAUAUUGUUCCUGUUUUAGUCUCACACAUGGCCUGCAAACUACCUGGACCAUGAUAACAGAAACAGGGAGGGAGGGUGAAAGAGGAGCCAUUGACCAAGAGGUCUGGGUCAAGAGGCCAAGAGGCCAAGAGAGCAGCUUAGCCAAAAUGGCUGAGUUAUAUAGUGAGCAGGCUGGGUGAAGGAAGUGGAAGGCCACAGGAGGGAGAAGUUUAGGGUACACAGGGGAGAAGGGCUGGGAGAAGCCACAGGUACUGAAGGAUGCUGGGAGAACUGGUU
rnacentral:lncRNA from 1 species